rnacentral:sRNA from 1 species
GCUGGGCAUGGUGGUGCAUGCCUGUAAUCCCAACUGCUCAGGAGGCUGAGGCAGGAGGAUUACAAGUUCAAAGCCCACCUCAG